rnacentral:rRNA from 1 species
UCUUGGACCUCGGAUCAAGGUAGGGAUACCCGC